rnacentral:rRNA from 1 species
GUGAACGCUAGCGGCAGGCUUAACACAUGCAAGCCGAGGGGUAAGGCUCUUUCGGGAGUACACGACCGGCGCACGGGUGAGUAACGCGUAUGCAACCUACCUGUAACAGGGAGAUAGCCCAGGGAAACUUGGAUUAAUACCCCGUAGUAUUUCAAAGUGGCAUCACUUUGUUUUUAAAGCUUUCGAGCGGUUACAGAUGGGCAUGCGUGCCAUUAGUUAGGGUAAGGUAACGGCUUACCAAGACAUUGAUGGCUAGGGGGUCUAAAAGGAUGGUCCCCCACACUGGUACUGAGACACGGACCAGACUCCUACGGGAGGCAGCAGUGAGGAAUAUUGGGCAAUGGGUGCAAGCCUGACCCAGCCAUGCCGCGUGCAGGAUGACUGCCCUACGGGUUGUAAACUGCUUUUCUGCGUGAAGAAAAAGAGUUACGAGUAACUCAUUGACGGUAGCGUAGGAAUAAGCAUCGGCUAACUCCGUGCCAGCAGCCGCGGUAAUACGGAGGAUGCAAGCGUUAUCCGGAUUUAUUAGGUUUAAAGGGUGCGUAGGCGGGCCUAUCAGUCAGUGGUGAAAUCCCGGGGCUCAACUCCGGAACUGCCAUUGAUACUAUAGGUCUUGAGUUUGGUUGAAGUAGGCGGAAUGUAGCAUGUAGCGGUGAAAUGCAUAGAUAUGCUACAGAACUCCAAUUGCGUAGGCAGCUUACUAAACCAAUACUGACGCUCAGGCACGAAAGCGUGGGUAGCGAACAGGAUUAGAUACCCUGGUAGUCCACGCCGUAAACGAUGAUUACUCGUUGUUGGCAACAUAUCGUCAGUGACCGAGCGAAAGCAUUAAGUAAUCCACCUGGGGAGUACGCUCGCAAGAGUGAAACUCAAAGGAAUUGACGGGGGCCCGCACAAGAGGAGGAGCAUGUGGUUUAAUUCGAUGAUACGCGAGGAACCUUACCUGGGCUCAAAUGUAGGUUGACGUACCGUGAAAGCGGUAUUUCUUCGGACAAUUUACGAGGUGCUGCAUGGUUGUCGUCAGCUCGUGCCGUGAGGUGUCGGGUUAAGUCCCAUAACGAGCGCAACCCCUAUCAUUAGUUGCCAUCAGGUCAAGCUGGGGACUCUAAUGAAACUGCCUACGCAAGUAGAGAGGAAGGUGGGGAUGACGUCAAAUCAGCACGGCCCUUACGUCCAGGGCUACACACGUGCUACAAUGGCCGGUACAGAGGGCAGCCACUGCGUGAGCAGGAGCGAAUCUCGAAAGCCGGUCUCAGUUCGGAUCGAAGUCUGCAACCCGACUUCGUGAAGCUGGAAUCGCUAGUAAUCGCGCAUCAGCCAUGGCGCGGUGAAUACGUUCCCGGGCCUUGUACACACCGCCCGUCAAGCCAUGGAAGCUGGGGGUACCUAAAGUCGGUAACCGAAAGGAGCUGCCUAGGGUAAAACUAGUGACUGGGGCU